UCUAAUAUGGCAGAAUAGUGCAAUGGAUUUAAACCCCAUAUAUAAAAAAAAAAAUUUUUUUUAGAA
rnacentral:tRNA from 1 species